rnacentral:lncRNA from 1 species
UUCGAGAACAAGCCCCUCUAGAGAUGAAUGUGCAGCUGACUCAAUCACUGUGGAUUUUGCGGCAUCAAUCCUAGUUGCCUUUCUUCGGCCGUAUUCUAAGAAUAAAUCCCAUUCUUGCUAAGAGCGGUAAUUCCUUUAGGCCACUCACUGGAACCCCAUGCCACAAAGCACCACCGCACCGCUGGCCGCUCGUACAACAACCACAACACAAAGCCGAUC